rnacentral:rRNA from 1 species
UACGGAGGGUGCAAGCGUUAUCCGGAUUCACUGGGCUUAAAGAGUCCGUAGGCGGCAUGUUAGGUGAGGUGUGAAAUCCCCCGGCUCAACCGAGGAAUUGCGCUUCAAACCGGCGUGCUUGAGGAAGAUAGAGGUGGGCGGAACUGAUGGUGGAGCGGUGAAAUGCGUUGAUAUCAUCAGGAACACCGGAGGCGAAGGCGGCCCACUGGGUCUUUUCUGACGCUGAGGGACGAAAGCUAGGGGAGCGAACGGG